rnacentral:misc_RNA from 1 species
AACCAUAGAAACCUGCGGAGUACCUGCGGAAGGAUCAUUACAGAGAAACUUGCCCUCCGGGGUAAAAUCUCCCACCCUUUGUUUAUCGUACCUUGUUGCUUUGGCAGGCCCGCCUUCGGGCCACUGGCUUUUAGCUGGUCUGCGCCUGCCAGAGGACCCUAACUCUUGAUUUUGUGUUGUCUGAGUGUUAAUUAAUUAAAAAACUUUUAACAAUGGAUCU